ACAGGUUUUGAGCGAGGUGACGGGGUGUUUGGUCCACUCAUCGUACACCAACCUGUCUCCAAAGACCCCAACCAGUUUUUGGCAGAGCACCUCCUUACCAUCAACGACUGGUUCCACAAGACGACACAAGCAAUAUAUGCCAACAAAAACAGUGACGGACGCGAUCCACACCUGAUUCACUCCUCAUCAAUGGAAGAGGCCCACAGCAGCACCUAGAGGACACCGUCAAGACCCCUCGGGUUCCCUACGCUAAGUUCCUGGUUGAGAACGGUACCCGUUACCGCCUGCGCAUCAUCAACGCUGCCAUCGCCCACUGCCCCGUGACUGUGACAAUAGACAAUCACGACCUCAUUCUCCUAGCAGCUGACGGUGCAUCAGUCUCUCCCGUCAACACUUCAGCGAUACUCAUCCACCCAGGGGAACGAUACGACGCUAUGUUCUCAGCUGAGCAUGACCCCAACGCCUCAGGUGGGACGUACUGGAUUAGAGUCACCGGGGGCGGCCAUUGUGCCGGUCUCCAUCAAUACGCUGCACUACAGUACCUCCCUUCCAACUUCACAGACUUCCAGCAGCUGCCAGCUAU